CUACGGGAUGCUCCAGUGAGGAAUAUUGCACAAUGGAGGAAACUCUGAUGCAGCAACGCCGCGUGGAGGAUGACGCAUUUCGGUGUGUAAACUCCUUUUAUAUGUCAAGAAAAUGACGGUAGCAUAUGAAUAAGCACCGGCUAACUCCGUGCCAGCAGCCGCGGUAAUACGGAGGGUGCAAGCGUUACUCGGAAUCACUGGGCGUAAAGGACGCGUAGGCGGGAUAUCAAGUCAGGUGUGAAAUCCUACAGCUUAACUGUAGAACUGCACUUGAAACUGGUAACCUAGAGUAUGGGAGGGGGAGAUGGAAUUAGUGGUGUAGGGGUAAAAUCCGUAGACAUAACUAGGAAUACCUAAAGCGAAGGCGAUCUCCUGGAACAUAACUGACGCUAAGGCGUGAAAGCGUGGGGAGCAAACAGGAUUAGAUACCCUAGUAGUC
rnacentral:rRNA from 1 species